AAUGCAAUUUUUAACCACUGGCUUGUGGUACUUUGAAAAUCACCAGGGGCUGUCAGAGUUGGGUCCUCUGAAAAAUUUACAGUGCUAAAUCAGAGCAUAUGCUGUGAGAGAGGAAAAAAAAUUGCUUAAGAUUGGAGCAAGUACAGUAUCUGGCUGCCCCCUAGUGUAAGUCUCUUAUCUGCCUAAAAUUCAACUUUAAAAGAAAAGGAUCUCUUAAAGGGAAACGACUUUUGGCUCACGUAUGCAUACGAGAAUGAAACUUCUGUACAUUUUAAUCUGAUUAAUUCCUAAGGAUUUAAAAUUAAUUGGCUUGGGCACUCCUAGACCGGACUAUAAGAUUUCUGCAUCAGGGUUUCUGCGAGAGCUGUGCCGAAUAGGUAUUUUUAAGGGAUAGUGGUAAGGGAUUGGGGGGGGGGGGAGAGAGAGAUCCUGUUUUGUGAUUUUUUUUUUUAAGCGAGGAUCCGAGCCUCGCUUGCUGUUCUCAGAGCAAAACACUUCUGCUGCUUAAAGUCAGAUCUACGUCUUUUGCAAUAAUACUUAAAAAAAAAAAAGGAUAAAUAAUUGCCUUAAAGCCUCAGCCGAACUGCCAACCACACCUUCGGAUGUUAGAAGGCAGAAAUAUGUGAACUGCUGAGAGAGUUUUAGUUUCAGACCUGUCCUAAUCCUGUGGUGGUGGCAAGAGGUGCAUCAGGAGGGGAAUAUUGAGGGAAUGCUGCUCGGGACGUGUUUGAAGCAAUCAAAGGGUUGAAAGAUUGAUUCGGCAUGUAGAUUGGAUUUAAUUCGAAGCAGCUUUGUUCUAAUGAGGACUACUGGGAUACAAAGACGGCAGCCGCUUAUGGCCACCAGUUGGGAACUUCCACUGGCUGCAGCAACCUGUCAAGAAUUCCAAGAAACUGCCAGGGUAAAAUUGCCUGCAGGGUCCGUUUGCUGAAGCCUGCUAAUUCCUCCUGAGGUCAGUGGGUACCGGGUGCUGGGCAGCACAGCCUCUCCUGGCCGGGCACAGUGGGCUCCGGCUGCUUCCCAAGAGACAGGGACAGUCAUGAAGAACGUGGGAUUUCCCACAGGAAUUUGGAAGAUGCCCAUGUCUAAGAUAAUGGUGAGGGUUGGGCCCAAAUCCAGAUCCAGCCUUGAUUCCUUCAUCCAAGUAACCCUGUGCUGACCCACGGCUGCUGAGGGAUCGCAGCGGCGUGGACCUUCCUCCCUCCCUCCUCGCUGCCCUGCAUCAGAUCACCAGGAGGACCUGAGAGUACUGGAUGGACCAUCACAAGACAGUGAUUGGAAAGCAUGGGGACCAAGCCCUCAGGGAGGUGGCUGAUGCAGCUGGUUCCCUGGCCCUGGGCUGUGGCUCAGCUCUUGGUGAUGGCACAAGUACCAGAGGCCAGAGGUAGGGACUGUUUCUGUCUUGGCUACUCCUCAUCAGUGCUUUGAGCUGCACGAAGCCCUGAGAACCAAGGAAACCUGAGUGAACCACCAGGGAUUUUCUCCUCUCUAUACCUGAAGCACAGCAGGAAGUUCCACCCUUUGCUUCUGCAGGUAGGAGCUCAAUCUAAUUUGCAGACUUAGUUUUAGUUUAGAAGCAAGGCAAUAAUCCUAAAAUAACUCAUGCAAAUGGUCACCCUCUUAUAGAACUGACAUUGUUUCUUCAUUUUCUCUCCAUUUUCUGGGUGAAGCAGCCAGCGUGAGGAGGGAAUGCUGGCACAUACCCCAGUUGAUAGCUGAGAAGAACAAACUGACAAAUAUUUUUAAUAUGCUGCAGCUUACCAACAUCCCAGUGAAUAAAGGGCAAAUGAGAUUUUCCACCGGUUAUUCAUAGAUCUACAUGGAGAUGCUGAUAAUCUGCCAUUUAGUCCAGAGACUGGACAGAAAUAAAUCACCAGAUAAAAUACAAUAUUCCUAGUGAAAUCCUUCAUGGAAUGUGUUCUUGCCCCAAACCCCUCCUGGAAUAGGCACAGCAAUGCUCCCUGAGACCUGGCAGCCCUUCUAAGUGAGCAUAUGGUCUGCUCAGCUCUCUCAGUGCUGGUGCACGGCGAGUAAACACGCUGAACUGUCAGAGCAAACAGGGGGCUCUUUAAUGGCACAAAAUUCUGUGCCUGCUUCAAACUCCAUCACUACUCCAGAAAUGGAUUUCCCUUCUCUGCUGGAGCAUGCCCUGUUUGCAGGAGGGACGGGAAAAAAAGUGAGAGAGUCUCCUUGGAUGGUGUCUGUGACCACUUCCCAUAAAGCUGUAAUGCUGUGGAAGGGUCUUGGUGUGACAGAAGUUGCAUUUUCUGGUGAUGCUACGUCGCCUUCUCUGUUCUUUUGAGAUGUCCCCUGAUGCAUUAUAACUUGCUCAGUCACUGGGAGAGAAAGAGGGCCCUGAAGGUAAAAAUCCCAGUGUUAAUCAAGGCUGGCAAAGGGCAGAACAUUAGCUGCAGUAAUUGUUUUUCUGAGGGAGCCAACAAAGCCGGGCUCGUCGGCGCUAGCAAACAGAUCCGGUCCUGCCUCUGUGCUCCUCACACUGGCAGAACAUUGCCCUGAAAUCACUGGAGCAGGGACCGGGCCAGGAAUGAGCAGCUAAGUUGCAAAGCAAAUUAAUUCCUGCCAAAAAAGUUCAGCUAUGCUCAGAAGUAUGUAAAGUGUCUGAUUUGAGAAGUGUCAAGUAGCAUUUGUGACCAAUUAUCCAAGAUGAAGGGGGCAGAGCUAUGUUUACAUGUACUAAUCUUCAGCCAAAGUUUGAAAACUCUAAUUCAUGGACACGCAUCAAAUUUCCUUUCCAGGCUUGGCAUUUGCCUGUACGCACGCAUGCACAUUGCUCGGGGAUGACAGGAAAACAUGAUUAUGACUUGCAAAUAAUACAAAUAAAAAAAAAAAAAAGAAAAAGAAAAAGCAAGAAGAGCUGCCAUGCAGCAGCAGCGUGGUAAUUAAACCUGUACUGUGAUAUGCAAAAAGAAUCAUGGACCACUGUAUGAGUAAAAUAGCUUUAUCAGCUGUGCUGAAAUAUGAUGUGUGGUGUGUCUGUAUUGUAUAGCUAUUUUUCCACAACCUGUGAAGCCCUGGGAAAUGAUCUACACAAAAGAACAAGAAGUAAAAGCUGCCUCUGCCAUCUUCUGUUUAAUUAACAUAGGUAUACCAAUUUAAUGCAAUUAAUCAAGAUAGGAGGGAUUAAAGAGUAACUCAGUUGACAAUGACAGAGUUAGCAUUGCUGUGGCACGAGAAGGGCUGCAAAAUGAGAGUGGUGACUGGGAGCGCUGUGAGGAGGAACAAGCUGGCUGCAGUUUUGGGAGGUUUAUGCAGAUGUAUUGAAAUUUAGGGGCAGCUGAUUUUUCAUGUGGCCAAGUGUUUAUCUGCCCCUGCCCUUUCCUUUACCCUCUCAGACCUUCCAGGGUAAUCCCCAGAGUGGCAACAACUUUUAAAGCGAUUCCUCUUUCUUCUAACAGAUUCCUGAUGCUAAAGGUCUGACCUUAAAAUGAGCAGUGCAUAGGGCAAGAGUGGGUACUGCAGUGAGCUCCUGGCCUUCAACCCUUCCAAAUACAGCUAUUUUGGUAACCAGAACACUAUAUUCACCAUGGGUGAGGGAACAGAGCCUUUCAGUGCAGGGCUUCUCAGCACAUUAACUCUGUCAGUGCUGGAUUCUGUGUCCCUGUGCAAGUUGCCUGUGCUUAUUUAAGACUAUAAAUGCAGAUUUGCAGAAGUCUGCAGCAUUCUGUAACUUCGUGGUUGUGCUUUUGUGCCCGAUGCACCCAAAAACUGGACUGAGUCCUGUGGAUUUCCACGUGGGUCUGGGAAGGACUGUAACCACAUGCAGCUGAGAGUAGCUCAGACUUGGAUUUCUGGUUGGCAGGAGAGGCACAGCCUGGUUUGCUACAAUGCAACUGUCCUCAUUAAUGUUCUUCAAGCCCUGAUGGACUGGGACCGCCAUGGUUGGGUCAGAAGAUGGCUGAGUUUUCCAGGCUCAUUCUCUUGUCUUCAGAAUGUUAAAUUGGGUGAUAAUGAGUAGUAACUGUGUCCUUUUUUAUGGUGAAGUUGACACUUGCCUUCUAGUAAACAGACACAGAGAUGACCCUCCUCAUUUCGCACAGGUCACCAAACAGCCCUGGAAUGGUAGGGGUUAUUGGCCAUUUACCAAACUCUGUUUGACUUGGGUUCAUGGGUGAGAGAUGAAAGGCUCUAUAUUGCAUUACCAAUCCCUGGGGCCAGCCAGUCUCCCUAAAGAAGCAUUUCAUUUAGCAAGGCAACUGCUGGCCCAUGGGAAUCGGAGACUUGGGAAAAAGAGGACACAGUUUCAAUUGCAAAUGUUUCCUCGGGGCAGAUGUCUUAAAGCCACACAGAAACUCACUGCUUCAGUGUCACAAUAGUUGCUCCAGGACACUUAAUGACCAGCAGAUUUUCCCCUUUAAUUAAUCUCCCCUUUUUCCCAAGAAAACAUCCGUUAGGUUCCUUGUGGUGUUUCUGCCUCUGCCCUGCUGUUUUGUCCAUCUCCCUGGGGCAAGACCAUUGCAGCAAUUGUGAACUGUUACCUUUUCCAAGAGCUUCAAAAUUGAAACAGAUGAAGCAAGGAGCCCUGGUAACACACUUAGAGGUUUUGGGCUCUUGGGAGGAGAAAUGAGUACUCCUGAAGUGUCCAGAUAUUUUCCUUACCCUAGAGCAAAGAUGCUGACUGAUUUUCUGGGUUAUAGUAGAGUGGUCAUUGCUGUUGGGGUAGUGUAAGUGCUGCCUUUUUUACAGAUAAUGGAUGUAGUGAUUGAUGGCUACAGGAAGAAGAAUAUUUGAUUCAGAACAAGAAUUCAACCCAGGCUUGUCCUGAUUUUCCUAUGAUCUGAAAAUCCAGUGUUCCAAAUUCAUUAAUUCUCUUUCAGUUUCCCCCCUUACUGUUUGUGAUGUGAGUCAUGAGACCUUCAGAAGUUGCAUUUGUUGUUUGAUAGUUUUACAUCGUGGUUGUAAUAGUGCAUCUGCCAAGUCAGCAGGUUCUUUUCUGUGUUUGUUUGUUUGUUUACCACUCCAUUUCCAGCAAGUUCUUGUUACCCAAUUCCUGCUGACAGCAGAGGAAGAGGCACAAGUCAGCUCAGAAAAUGAACGACUAGAAGACUCAGUGAUACUGAACCAUCCUGGCUCCUGCUUUCAGGCUGGGGUCACAAGUUGGACUUGGAAGAAGAAACUUCCAUGCAGAGAUGUGACUGCAGUGUGAACACUGUGCCAGGAUUUCUUUACAGAUGAAACCUGGAGUGUCCUAAAAUCCAGCAACCACUCAAUACCAGCAACUCCCACACCCCUCUGUGCUCCUGCCAUUGCUUUGAACCAGUUUAUUUAUUCAUUUGGGCUUUAAGCACUCAGAUGCAUUCCUUCUUGCUGCAGCAGCAGGGGUACAGGAAGGGGUGUUUGAAACCACGCAGUCAAUUCCACCCUGGAUUUCAGGAGGAGUUAUUCUUGUCUCAGAGAUGACGCAUUCAAAUAUCCCUCUACGGAUUCCAGUUCUCAGCCCAAGAGGUCAUGGAUGGUGAGAGCUCUCAUCUACUUUGGAGCUGUUCUAUCUUCUAAGAGAAAUCAGGAAGAUGAGUUGGGAGAGAUGCUUUACUUUCCUUGAUAAAACAAAUGGCCAUUUUUAGCCUAAUCAUCACUUCUGCCUGAGGAAAGAGCAACUCUUUGAGGUAAGUUCCCUUGGAUAUAAUUCUUUCUUUCUAGAAAGAAGGGCUGCAGCUAAUACAUAUCCCGAGUCAUAAUGUGGAUUUGCACCUUUCCUGUUAAAUAUAGCUGGUUUAUGUCCAAAGGAUCCCUUCUGUCCCUAAUGCUCACUCAUAUUGUUACAACUUCUACAUUAGUUGCAGGUGUGAAAUGCCAACUGAUCCACACUUGUGGUGCUGUCAGCAGGGGAGUAAUGUGAGUCAAAGGCCUGCCUCUCAGAGGGGAGGUCACCCGGAUCUCCAUUUGCACAUCUGCUUUGCUAAACACAAAACUCUGGAGGUUUGAAAAGCUCCAACGUGCACAAAGUGGGGUGUGAUCACAUGCACAGAAGGAACUGCUUGUGCCUGUCAUUGAUUAUGCAGGACACAGAAUUUUCCUUGUGUACAAAAUUCAUCCUGCAUUACAACAGGUGAUGUUUUACUCAUCAGUUCUAUAUUGAUAAGGAGAAAACCCACACUUCUCUGCAUUCCACGAGCAGACAGGAUACCAAGAGGUUUAAAAAGAGCCCCACACACAUUAAGCAGCUUCAGAAAGAUGCUAAUAUUCAGCAUGUCCCUGCUUGGAGUGUGCAGACAUAAAGAUCAGGAAAAGUGCCUGAUCAGAGCUCUGGAGAGACCGUGCUGCUGGAGCCUGCCUUGCACAGAGGCAUCCUGGUUUGGUUCUGAGGGCUUCCAGAGGAGCCUUCAAACGUUUCUAUUUCCUGCUGUUAGUGGAUUUUUUUCAUACCUUGGAAUAAGCCUUCCCCUGGUAAUGUGUUUGCAGUUGAUGCUGAGAUAACAGUUCUUGCUCAGGGGACCUCUAAUACACAGUAUUUUAUGGUUUCUACAUUUUAUGUGAGAUCAAAAACUCCUCCUAUGUAUACAUAUAUGCCUAAUUCUUUCUUGAUUCCUGCUAGAAUCUAGAAUGUCCCUCAGUAUCUGCCGUAAGGAUGCCCACAAGUAAUCUAUACUGAAUAUUUUUUGGUCUGAAUAUGUUUGGCCUUUUAAUGUCAUAUUUAUGACACCGUGAUUCUGGUUACUCUGCACUUACAGGACAUUUUUAACACAAGCAUCCAAGCAUCAUUCAUCACUAUGCAUUGCAUUUUUUCCUCUCUCAGUUGGCUACUUCCAAUUUUUUUCAGGGACAGUGAAACCAAUGCUGACCUUUUUAUCCAAAAUGAGAAAACAGGGACUUGGUCAUCAGCUGUAUGCUGAUGUUCCAUGGAUGUUACAUCAGGUUCCAUGGAAUUUAGACCUUGUGUCCUCACAUUAACUUAGCCAGAAUUAAAGAAAAGUGAUUUCUAAAGCCCAAAGCAUACUGAGGAGAGCCAUGAGCUGAACACAUAGGUCAGAGCAUGUUUCAUGAACACCUGAAAUUCCAGCCCUGAGCCUCUGCUGCUCAUCAUGGACAUCUCCUUAAGGGAGCUGCUGAAAAUAAUUUCCAUGAGAAUCAGAAGAAAAUAAUUUUCACAAGAAUCACUUUUGAUACUGAGGAAGGAGAGCACUUGCAUUUUAAAGAAAAGUUUGAUUCUGGAAAGUCUCUGUUGGUGAGUUAGAGGAGCUGUAGAAGACAGAGUGGCUGUUUGACUCUUGAUGGAAGCCUCUGUUGAAUUCAGGCCUUUGCCCUGAAAUUCACCCCAGAAAUUCAGAAGUUUCAUCUUUGAUCAGAACAGUAAUAGGAAUGACAUUGGUUUCCCUGGGCUGUACAUUAUAGACAUGACAGAACCAUGAAAAGAAAUGGAGAAAGGGGUACUCAUUUUCUUGGAAUGAAAUAUAAGCUUGGAAAACAUUUGAGUAUAAUAUGCUGAAAGUUAAAAGAAACAUUUUUAAAGAAACAUUUUCAAAGAGCAUGCCUGUUAGUUUUAUCCUAAUUUUUGCCAUGUAUAAUUAUGAGAAACACAGACAACUCAUAAGAUUUUUUAGUUUCUGUUGAGAAUUGUCUUUUCCAAGAUAAUUCUGUACACUAUUACUUCAGCCCACUGGGUAUCAUGUAGGGAAGGUGCAAGAUUAUGCACAUGAAUAUUUCUGUCUACCACUUAGGCGUGCUGAGACAAUAUCAGCUUAUACUUGCUCCUGUCAUUGGUCCUUAUUCCAUGGAGGAUAUUCUUAAUUAUCAGCAAGACAGUUUGGUAAUAUCAUGUAAAGUGUAACAGCAUAAUUUCUGUGAUGAUUUACACCUGCUAAGGAUCUGAAUACUGAAUUUUAAAACAUAGUUUAAGUUCAGAAGGAAGAGUAUAUUUUCUACAAGACACUAUUUCUAUUUUUAAUAGAAAUAAUCUCAUUUAUUUAAUUUAUUGGCACUUUUCUUCUAAAUGAAAUGGAGCUUUUGAAUGUGAAGAUACCAUUUUUACACAUUUUCACUGCCCUGACAAAUUUAGAGCACACUUCUGUACUGGAUUAAAUCAACUUGAGUCGAAAUGCCUAAACACUAUUUUUGACAACUGUGCAUGAGGGACGUGCCUGUACAGGGAUUCUAAAGAAUAAAAAACCUAAAAAUAUCUCAGUUGCAAAGAAAAUUCCCCGUAUUCCUUCUUACACUUUGUAAUAGUGGCUAUAUAUAUGUAUAUAUAUCUUUUUUAACCCUCACAGGUUUAUCUCUAAUUCUGUUGGAAAUGAUUGAAAUAAUUCCAUUGACUUUAGCAAACUCUCUUUCCUGCUGGAUUAAAGGCAAUAUUUGUGCAGCAGAUUUGCUGGUGGUGCCCCACUAAUGAAACAGGUAAUUUUAUAAACAUGUCAGGGAGGGUAAGUGCCCAAUAAAAAGAUUUCAGAGAGAUGCACAAAUUACAGUUUAUUUGUAAUGGAAAUAAAACCAGGAAUUCUAACUGUGAGUCAUUAAUUUCUUUAUAAUCGCUUCCACACUUGGGGAAACUUUUCCCUAGGUUGUCUACAGAAACCCUGCAAUUCUUGGGGCUUCUGAUGGCACUUAUGAUCACAACAACACAUCUAAUUUCUGAUAAAAAUUACUUAUUUUGGGAAGGAUUGUUUUUUUCUCAAAUUGCUCUUCUGAGUCUUUAUCUGCAACUGUUUUCUUAUCCUCCUCCUCAUUUUCUAUUUCUAAUAUAAAACCAGGAAUCCUUAUCAAUUUAGAAGAGCAAUAAAACUAAAGAAGAUUCAGGCAGAAGUGUAAAGCACAGUCUAUUUUAAAGUUCCAACUCAGAUAAUAAGACUCUGGUUUGUGCUGCACCUCACUCAUGGACUCAGUUUUCCAUAGUGCAUUCAGUGUUGUAAUAAUGCAAAUCAAAUACAAUUUUAAUAACUCCUUCCAUUAAUGUUUUAAGACUGCAACACUUAUGAGCAUGAUUCUAAUUGCAUGAUUUUGCUACAGGCAAGUUUUAUAGAUCUGUCUGAUCUUUGGAUAUUUGCACCGUUUGGAUCAUUUUAAAUAAUUAAUUUUUGGAAGAAUUUCAGUCUCAGUAACAACAGUUGGGUUUGAUAGUGGCUGUCUUGUCAGUAAUUGUAUGUAUCUGCUUCCAUGCCAGGAUAAACUAGAUAAUUUUAGAACUCUUUGGGAGGAGGGGGCUGAGAUUUAUUCCAUGGCAAAUGUUAUGGAGAGUGUUCUUAGGAGGGGAAUAUUUAUAGACUAUGUUAAUACAAGGAGCAAAAGAGGUUUAAAGUGAAUAAAAUUUUGUCAUGCAGUACAAUUAGUUAAUUAAAUUGCAGGACUUUCUGCCAAAAGAAUACCAAAAAUAUAAUCAACUUAAAAUACCAUUAAACAUUCUUGUUUUAUGCAACUUCUUUUGCCAGUCUGUAAUGCACUGCGUGAUAGGAACAAGGAAAAUACCUCAUGAGAAGAAUUAGUUUGACUUCUGACAUUUUUCUGCAUAUCUGCUGGGAGUUUCUGCCACAGGGGCCACAGAAUCAUGGAAUC